ensembl:snRNA U6 U6 spliceosomal RNA
AUGCUCACUUUGGCAGCGCAUAAAUUCAAAUUGGAACAAUACAGAGGAGAUUAGCAUGGCCCCUGAGCAAAGAUGACACGGAAGUUCGUGAAGUGUUCCAUAUUUUA